rnacentral:rRNA from 1 species
AACGAACGCUGGCGGCAUGCCUAACACAUGCAAGUCGAACGAGACCUUCGGGUCUAGUGGCGCACGGGUGCGUAACGCGUGGGAACCUGCCUUUAGGUUCGGAAUAACUCAGAGAAAUUUGAGCUAAUACCGGAUGAUGUCUUCGGACCAAAGAUUUAUCGCCUUUAGAUGGGCCCGCGUUGGAUUAGCUAGUUGGUGGUGUAAAGGCCUACCAAGGCGACGAUCCAUAGCUGGUCUGAGAGGAUGAUCAGCCACACUGGGACUGAGACACGGCCCAGACUCCGACGGGAGGCAGCAGUGGGGAAUAUUGGACAAGGGGCGAAAGCCUGAUACAGCAAUGCCGCGUGAGUGAUGAAGGCCUUAGGGUUGUAAAGCUCUUUUACACGAGAUGAUAAUGACAGUAUCGGGAGAAUAAGCUCCGGCUAACUCCGUG